AUGAGUUAAGUAUAAACCCCUUUACAAGUAUCAAUUGGAGGGCAAGUCUGGUGCCAGCAGCCGCGGUAAUUCCAGCUCCAAUAGCGUAUAUUAAAGUUGUUGCAGUUAAAAAGCUCGUAGUUGGAUUUCUGUUAAUAAUUUAUAUAUAAUAUUUUAACGAUAUUUAUAUAAUAUUAACAUAAUUCACAUUACUAUUAUUAGUAUGUGAAAUUUUACUUUGAGAAAAUUAGAGUGCUUAAAGCAGGCAUUUGCCUUGAAUACUCCAGCAUGGAAUAAUAUAAAAGAUUUUUAUCUUUUUUAUUGGUUCUAAGAUAAAAAUAAUGAUUAAUAGGGACAGUUGGGGGCAUUUGUAUUUAACAGUCAGAGGUGAAAUUCUUAGAUUUGUUAAAGACAAACUAAUGCGAAAGCAUUUGCCAAGGAUGUUUUCAUUAAUCAAGAACGAAAGUUAGGGGAUCGAAGACGAUCAGAUACCGUCGUAGU
rnacentral:rRNA from 1 species